UCUAACUCCCUCUCUCUUCUCAUCCUCCUGUGACUUAGUUUGCUGUGAGUAACAACUGGCAGACCUCUCUUCUCCUCUUUCCCAGCGAGGUGGCAAGCGUGUCCCACACCUGCUCUCACUGGGAGGGGAUCCUGCACGUCCGUGGCUGGUGGAAGCUGACGGCACAUGGUCACACGAUCGGCGGCACAACAACCUGAAGGAAAGAGGCUCAGCAGCUUGAGCCUCCCCCGUCACCGGCUCACGGUUCGCAGCGAGGCAGGGAACGAAUCGGGCAGCUUUGUGCUCAGUGGGAGCUGCUGUGUAGUGCAAGAGAUCUCUAGGAUCUCGCUUGGAUGGUAGCAAUUGGAGAGGCGGAGCUGCCCCAGGGGCCGGGCUGGACCAUAAACCGAACAUGAGAUCCAUGAGCACCCUUUCCCAGAUGCAACCUUUGACGGGGGCCUUGCGUUGUGGUAAAGGGCAUCUUCAAUCAAUUACCCUAGAGAAAACUCUGGUUUGGCCUAUGCCACUGUGGAUGGCUGAAAGUCAGGCAGACCCCCUGUUUUCUAAGACUCUCUUCGGUGACGGGUAUUCUUGGGUGGAUAAUACGGCUCUCGUUGUUAUUGCUUAAGAAUACGCGUAGUUGAGGAGAGUCAUUUUCGACCGUCUGCGGGGAGAUAACCUCCACUGGUCCAAAACCUUCUGGCUGAGGGCCUCCUUUGUUACUGUGGCUAAAACGAAAGACUCUAUUGUGCUCCUUUUAUUUAGUGACUAGACAGCUAAUCAUUUUCACUGUGGUUUUCUUGAUUUCUGUGCUGUAUCGUCAUUCGUUUUAACUGCAACAGGAGACAGAAAGUUCUCGCUUGUCAGAGCAAAAGAACGCCAUUUUUUUUUCUUUGUGCCAAAGCGACCAUUUAUGUGCCGAGUAGUAUUUUGCAUUUUACACAAUUUAUUUUGUAUAGGUGUAUGUGUGUGAGGGGAGGUGGGAGGUUGAGGGGAGCCGGCGUUUAUUUUCGCUCUCCUCGGGGAGUGUUUUAGUGUACACAUGCCUGCUUGCCUGGCUGAUAGGAAUGCAUUUACUGCUCUUUAUUGUUAGUCGUGAGGACCAGCGGGGCCCCGGACUGCAUGGGGUGUUCACACAGAUUGAUUUUGAGAUGGCAUUAGUCGUACAGUUUUUACCAUUCAGCUGACAGCAAUUGGAAGCAAAAUGUCCACGGAAUCUAAAGAGGCUUUGCCUUAAUAGGGGAGGGGCUUUAGGACUAAUCACAAAACACGACAAAAAAAAGCAUCAGAAUAGAUUCAAUGGCCGAACAGAUUCUUUUUCUUCCACCACACAGCAUUGAUGGACAAUUCUGAUUGUACUGUUGACAGUUUCUUAGAUAAAACAACACAUAAAAUAUAUUUUCUCUCUCUGAUAAAGGCACACAUAGAAAGAAUAAUGUUUUU